GAGGGUAUAGCUCAGUGGUAGAGUGUGUGCUUAGCAUGCAAGAGGUCCUGGGUUCAAUCCCCAGUACUGCCA
rnacentral:tRNA from 1 species